GUGCAACCCAAACUUGGGACAAGGGGCUCACGUGUGACGCCUUUACAUUUGCGAAACAAGCGGUCUAAGCGAUAUUGAACGGAGAUGGUGUUGCCUCCAGCUGUUGCGAAGCUGAUGAUCCUCGCGAUCGGGACGAGCAUGUGGAUAUGGAUGGAGGCGUACGUCGAAGUUCAAGUGGCACUUCACGGUAGAGCCGUACUAGAACCGCACAGAAGGAGUGAGCCACCAGAGUUCUGGGACUUUAGGCUUGGACAACAUGCAUUUGUCAGUGUGAACGGUAUCAAAAUGCACUACGUUCACAAUGGCUGUAAACAACACGGUGAAGGGCCCUAUACUGCUUCUGCUGCACGGAUUUUUGGAUUUUUGGUACAUCUGGAAUAGGC